AUGAACGCUAGCUACAGGCUUAACACAUGCAAGUCGAGGGGCAGCAUGCUGAUAGCUUGCUAUCAGUGAUGGCGACCGGCGCACGGGUGAGUAACGCGUAUCCAACCUGCCUGUCACUCAGGAAUAGCCCGGUGAAAACCGGAUUAAAUCCUGAUGAUAUCAUUAGAGGGCAUCUGACGAUGAUUAAAGGUUACGGUGACAGAUGGGGAUGCGUCUGAUUAGCUUGUUGGCGGGUAACGGCCCACCAAGGCAACGAUCAGUAGGGGGUUCUGAGAGGAAGGUCCCCCACAUUGGAACUGAGACACGGUCCAAACUCCUACGGGAGGCAGCAGUGAGGAAUAUUGGUCAAUGGGCGGAAGCCUGAACCAGCCAAGUAGCGUGCAGGAUGACGGCCCUAUGGGUUGUAAACUGCUUUUGUGCGGGGAUAAAGUGUGGGACGUGUCCCAUAUUGCAGGUACCGCAUGAAUAAGGACCGGCUAAUUCCGUG
rnacentral:rRNA from 1 species